GGAAUAUUGGUCAAUGGAGGGAACUCUGAACCAGCCAUGCCGCGUGCAGGAUGACUGCCCUAUGGGUUGUAAACUGCUUUUGUCAGGGAAUAAACCUUUCCACGUGUGGGAAGCUGAAUGUACCUGAAGAAUAAGGAUCGGCUAACUCCGUGCCAGCAGCCGCGGUAAUACGGAGGAUCCAAGCGUUAUCCGGAUUUAUUGGGUUUAAAGGGUGCGUAGGCGGUCCUAUAAGUCAGUGGUGAAAGACGGCAGCUUAACUGUCGCAGUGCCUUUGAUACUGUAGGACUUGAAUCUAUUUGAAGUGGGCGGAAUAAGACAAGUAGCGGUGAAAUGCAUAGAUAUGUCUUAGAACUCCGAUUGCGAAGGCAGCUCACUAAGUUAGUAUUGACGCUGAUGCACGAAAGCGUGGGGAUCAAACAGGAUUAGAUACCCCGG
rnacentral:rRNA from 1 species